ACAAGCGGUGGAGCAUGUGGUUAAUUCGAAGCAACGCGAAGAACCUUACCAGGUCUUGACAUCCCGAUGCUAUUUCUAGAGAUAGAAAGUUACUUCGGUACAUCGGUGACAGGUGGUGCAUGGUUGUCGUCAGCUCGUGUCGUGAGAUGUUGGGUUAAGUCCCGCAACGAGCGCAACCCCUAUUGUUAGUUGCCAUCAUUCAGUUGGGCACUCUAGCGAGACUGCCGGUAAUAAACCGGAGGAAGGUGGGGAUGACGUCAAAUCAUCAUGCCCCUUAUGACCUGGGCUACACACGUGCUACAAUGGUUGGUACAACGAGUUGCGAGUCGGUGACGGCGAGCUAAUCUCUUAAAGCCAAUCUCAGUUCGGAUUGUAGGCUGCAACUCGCCUACAUGAAGUCGGAAUCGCUAGUAAUCGCGGAUCAGCACGCCGCGGUGAAUACGUUCCCGGGCCUU
rnacentral:rRNA from 1 species